AAUAAUCUAGUUUAAAUAUAAAACAAAAGAAUGUCAAUCUUUAAAAACUAAUAUUAGUGAUUAUUA
rnacentral:tRNA from 1 species